GGAACAAAAAUGGAAAGAGUAAAAACCAGAAAACCACAGAGUGACAGAGCACCAGAGAAAUCAGAAACGUAAAAGUUUUGUUAGAAGCACAAAAGAAAAUUAAAAAGAGUUUCCAUUGGCAACAACUGCUUCAUUAUCUCAAUCAAGGUACAUAAUACAUGCAUGUAUAAGCUUUAUCCUGAUUAUAAAUCAAAAGAGGACUACCUAAUAAACAUCAACCUAGGUUACCAGACUUAUAAGUUACAUGAUAUUAGCAGAAACUACUGAAGGAAAUGGCUAGGGGCUCACCCCCUCGCCAUUUUAAUUGCUCUACUAGUGUUAGCUUUUCGAUAUUAGUUAUUUGCUUCAGUUUGUCAGUAUACAAUAUUAUUUUUAAAGAAUUAGUUUGAAUUAAAAGAAAUGGUCAAGAUUUUUUUUUUUUAUUGAAAGUAGUUUAAUGAAUUAAACAAUAUUUGACUCAUUCGAUGUCACGCGUUCUGUGGCGGGAAAGCCAUCUUGAAUUCAUUUUUCAAAAAUAACGGUUUGAACAUUCGAAGUUCGUUCGGACGCGAGACUCGAUGACUAUUUAAGUAUUUAAAUACUUUUGUGUUUAAGUUGCCAUUAAUAUUGUAGUUAGGUUAUUUAAAGGAUUAAAAUUCUUGAUCAGCCUCAUGAGUGAGGAUAUAUUAUGUAAGUCACAAAAUAUCCUCGCGCAACCUUAAUAUCAGAGGACAUUUUAAUAAUUUAUAAAAUUAGUUAAAUUAUACUUGCUCUUCUGGCUUACGCUUUUACUAGUUUUAAAGUGCCUAGUAUAUAUUGUAUACCUAGUAUAAACCUACCUACCUAGUAUAUAGUAAUUACCUAACUGUAUAUUGUAAUUUUGUUUGCAAAAUAGAUAAAUAAGAUGUUAAAAUGGGAUUUAAUUAAAGUUUAUUUUAAAAAUAAAACAAUACCAUCAA